rnacentral:rRNA from 1 species
GACGAACGCUGGCGGCGUGCUUAACACAUGCAAGUCGAACGGAAAGGCCCUGCUUGCAGGGUACUCGAGUGGCGAACGGGUGAGUAACACGUGGGUGAUCUGCCCUGCACUUCGGGAUAAGCCUGGGAAACUGGGUCUAAUACCGGAUAGGAGCCAUUUUUAGUGUGAUGGUUGGAAAGUUUUUUCGGUGUAGGAUGAGCUCGCGGCCUAUCAGCUUGUUGGUGGGGUAAUGGCCUACCAAGGCGGCGACGGGUAGCCGGCCUGAGAGGGGGGACGGCCACAUUGGGACUGAGAGACGGCCCAGACUCCUACGGGAGGCAGCAGUGGGGAAUAUUGCACAAUGGGCGCAAGCCUGAUGCAGCGACGCCGCGUGGGGGAUGACGGCCUUCGGGUUGUAAACUCCUUUCGCUAGGGACGAAGCUUUGUGUGACGGUACCUAGAUAAGAAGCACCGGCUAACUACGUG